rnacentral:lncRNA from 1 species
AAUUUCUUCUCUUUGUGAGCAUCAGGUUUACCUUCACUCAAAUCGCAUCGUACAAAGUCCUAGAUAGAAACUGCAUUAGUAAGACUGAAGUAGCUUAAGUUCAGUGACUCCGCAAAACUUACGCAAAAACCCGUUAAAUGUUCAAUGGUUCAGACUCGCCGUCCCUAUCCUUCAUUUGCCAAUCUGUUGCUUCUGUUUCAAAAAAAAAAAAAUCCCAGCUCAGAGUAAGAACGUUUUUAUAGGGCCAUGCCAAAUGACACACAUCUCUAGUAUUGGUAUCCUAUAAAAGAAAAGCAGGGAGCACGUGAAUUAAUCCUUUUCAAGAUAAAACAAGCUCCCCAAGUUAACCAAAAAUAUGUCAAUAUCAUAUCUUGCAGACAAGAAUGUUUGGCUCUGCUGAACUGUCAGAGAACUGCAAGAACAACCUCAGGAAGGAGCAAUGAAACCAAAGGUAUACCAGUAGUUCCCAGAUGGGAUAAAUUUAAAACACAACGAAUUAGUCUGAAUUAGUCUAAAUAAGGUUCUGUCCAUCCCAAUCCUAUUUCUAAAUUUUCAUAGAGUCAUUCAAUCUGAAUCCUACAUGAAGAACAUAAGCCACAUAUGAAAUAACAUGAGAUAUCAUUGAGAAAUAGGAAUCUGAGUUCUCAAAAGAUUUCCUGCGAUUCUUUCUAUUAUGGAAUGAGUCAAUCAUCCACUUUGGUAUCUUAUUGAACCAACUUAAGCAGCAGAUAAUUUGUGUAAGGGUCUUACUUGGCUUGUCCGAAAUCACCAUCAGUCGCCUUUGUAAGAUGCAAGCCACCAAAAGGAAAAUUGAGCACAUGCCAAACAUAACAGUGAUAGGGAAUGCAUCAACCUGCACAGAGAAAAUACAUAUUUGGUAAAAAAACACAAAAAAAUAUGAUAAUGUUAAGAUCAAGCAUUGUAUUAAAGUAGUAAGAUAGUGUAACAUACAUUGUACAGCACGACACACACAAAAAUGUUCAGAGGAAUGCGGAAAAAGUUCAUGAUGGUGCUCCUGGCCUCCUCGGGAAUGUAUUGAGAUCUCAUCUUCAUAAUGGAUGGCCAGAAUAUGCCAACGCAACUCUCAAAAGCACAGAAGCCAAGAAGUUGCAUGCAGCCAGCGAAUGAGAUGCUU